rnacentral:rRNA from 1 species
GACGAACGCUGGCGGCGUGCUUAACACAUGCAAGUCGAACGGAAAGGCCCUGCUUUUGUGGGGUGCUCGAGUGGCGAACGGGUGAGUAACACGUGAGUAACCUGCCCUUGACUUUGGGAUAACUUCAGGAAACUGGGGCUAAUACCGGAUAGGAGCUCCUGCUGCAUGGUGGGGGUUGGAAAGUUUCGGCGGUUGGGGAUGGACUCGCGGCUUAUCAGCUUGUUGGUGGGGUAGUGGCUUACCAAGGCUUUGACGGGUAGCCGGCCUGGGAGGGUGACCGGCCACAUUGGGACUGAGAUACGGCCCAGACUCCAACGGGAGGCAGCGGUGGGGAAUAUUGCACAAUGGGCGGAAGCCUGAUGCAGCAACGCCGCGUGCGGGAUGACGGCCUUCGGGUUGUAAACCGCUUUCGCCUGUGACGAAGCGUGAGUGACGGUAAUGGGUAAAGAAGCACCGGCUAACUACGUG